GAGUUUGAUCAUGGCUCAGGAUGAACGCUGGCGGCGUGCCUAAUACAUGCAAGUCGGACGGAGAAUUAGCAAUAAUUCUUAGUGGCGAACGGGUGAGUAACGCGUUGGUGACCUGCCCCGAAGAGAGGGAUAACAGUUCGAAAGGACUGCUAAUACCGCAUAAUAUCUCAAAAGUUAGAGUAUUGAGAUGAAAGGAGCAAUCCACUUUGGGAGGGGCCUGCGUCCCAUCAGCUAGUUGGUAAGGUAAAAGCUUACCAAGGCGAAGACGGGUAGGGGACCUGAGAGGGUGAUCCCCCACACUGGCACUGAAACACGGGCCAGACACCUACGGGUGGCAGCAGUAGGGAAUAUUGCACAAUGGGCGAAAGCCUGAUGCAGCAACGCCGCGUGAGCGAAGAAGGCCUUCGGGUCGUAAAGCUCUUUUCGGGGAGAUGAGGAAGGACAGUAUCCCCGGAAUAAGGCUCGGCUAACUACGUGCCAGCAGCCGCGGUAACACGUAGGAGCCAAGCGUUAUCCGAAUUCACUGGGCGUAAAGCGCGUGUAGGCGGCUUGAUAAGUUGGAUGUAAAAGCUCCUGGCUCAACUGGGAGAGGACGUUCAAUACUGUCAGGCUAGAGGACGGCAGAGGGAGGUGGAAUUCCCGGUGUAGUGGUGAAAUGCGU
rnacentral:rRNA from 1 species